UUUAUCAAAACAUUUGAUUCAAAACCGACAACCGCGAACCGCCUCUAUAGUCUCGUCUUCUCUCCCCCCAAAGGGCCUCGUAUCGCUUCGACUUGCCCUAGCGUGAAACCCUAAUCACGAACUCGUCCUACUCUCCCCUCCAUUAUCUGCUGAACCUUAAUCUCCAACAUCCUCAAGCCUCAAUUUCCAGAUCGUCGAAUCACAGAGAGGAGAGAUGCAGAAAGAAGCGGUCUCGCAGAUCGACUCACGAAUUCGUCAAGGAAUGUCUGAUUGUUGCCUUUCUCUACUCUUCUUUCUCAACGAAGUAAUUCUAUCAAGGAAACCGUUGUAGUCGGUGACGAGGAGAAGAGGCGCUCUACAAUACCGGCGCCGAGCAUGGCGUAAUCGAGAUGUCGCUGGCGGUAUCUGCAGAUCUGGUAACGUUUUCUGAUUUCAAGCCUCACUUCUCUCUGGCGAUCUUCAACUCCCCUCUCCCUCUCCCUCUCACACAGUUGGCUCUCCGAUUUCUCUUGGGAAUGUCUGAUUGUUGCCUUUCUUUAUCCUUCUUCCUCGGCGAAGUAAUUCUUAUUGAGGAAACCGUUGUAGUCGGUGACGAGGAGAAGAGGCGCUCUACAAUGCCGGCGCCGAGCAUGGCGUAAUCGAGAUGUCACUUGCGGUAUCUGCAGAUCUGGUAACGUUUCUGAUUUUAUUGUGUUUUUCCUGUCCUUUUUUGGUGCCGGUAGUUCCUGAUAUGGCUUCGUAAUUAGAUUAGAAGACCUAUUGUUAGUUUUUUUUUGCCUCCCUCUGUUUCAACACGUUUCUUGUAUUUGCGUAUGUUAUGCGAUUUAAAUCUGUAUGCUAUCCUCUUGGUUUUGCACGUGAAACUGUGAAAGUGUUAUGAGCUUGGCCAUUUUGUGAAUGCUGUUGAACUACUCACUGGAUUCAUUUGUUAUUUUUUUUUGAAAAAUACAUACAUACAAAUCUCUUGGUUUUCUGCCAAUUUCGUGUGUCUUCGUUACCUCUUUUUUUAUUUCCAGUUUUCCUCCUUAUAAACACAGCCUUAAUUCUCUUCAGUUAUGAAAUUUGGAAGAAGUUCAGAAUCUGAAUGUAGUUGAAAGAUCUCGCCUAUUGGUUGUUCAAUUAGCGGUUGGUAUCUGUUGCUGUGACUUUUGUGAAGUUAUGUGUUACUUAUUGCCUCAAAAUUUUAACAGACCAUUGAUAUGUUUUCUUGGUUUCAGUAUUGGAAUCUCUUGCGCCUUAUCUUUCACUGAUCAGGUCGUGUAUUGUGGAAUUCAUAUAUUUUUCCUUGUUCUUCAUGUAUCCCUGAAAUGCGAAAUGCAUCACAGUUUUUUCUUUUGUCUUUGGGUUUCAUAUCCUGCGUAUGAUAUGAUAAUCUUGAAUUCUCAGUCUGUCUGUGAUUUUAAUUCUGAUUUCAGUGGUCUUUGAUUCUUGUGUAUGCGUGGAGUGUGGUUUGCCAUUGGUUAUACUUAGAUUUUUACCUUUUUCUAGCUCUUUUUUUUGUUGGUUUGAUUUAUAUUUAAGUAAUUCGAAUUCUUUUUUCAAGCAAUGUGGUGAAACCGUUACGUUUUGAUUCUUGCUUACAUUUGGUUUAUAUGUUGUCAUUGCUUUUGGGACAGUCUCUUUAUGUUUUUUUUUUUUGGUUUGAGAAGAGGAAGCCUUCUGCAAGUGGAUGAUGUUCAGUUUUAACUUAAAAGUAUGAGUAUAAAUAAUUCUAUGACUGAUUUUUGAGUUAAAACUGAAACUUUUAGUUUUCCUGUGGGAGCAAAGUUUGAAGUAAUGGUAUUACCUUGACCUUCUUUAAAAAUUAGCUAUUAGUGACUGGGAGUUUUGUUAUUUUGAUCUAUUGAGUAUUUUCUGAGCAGAAUCCUGGCUCAGUAGUUGCUGUUGCCUUUAAUUAUACAUUUAUACUCCAGGCCAUUUUUGUAAAUUAUGAUAGUUAUUGUGCAAAGUCAUGUCGAGUUCUUUCAAUGUAUAAUGAUGGUGUACUUUUUGGAAUAAUUUGAGGACUAGGAAGAUGCAAAAGAAUUUUCUGCAAGUGUUCAUAUAAUGCUACAUGAAAGUUUUCAAAAUAUCAGCUAAAAUUUUCAUGAAAACAUGAACCACUGAUUUAUCUAUGUUAUACACAUUUUUAUGUUCUUAUAAACUGAAAUCUGAUUUACUUAUUUUGAAACAAUAGGAAUAAUUCCUGUCGUGUUCUCCUUUGUUGCUCCUUUCUUCCCAGUUUUGCUCUAGAGUCAAUUGCUAUAGCACUUACUUUACCCCAUACAGCGCUACAGAAAUACUUCAUAGUCAUUCUUUCAUCUUACGCAACCAAAUACCAGCUGAUAAAUCUAUGGACAGGCGCCCUUUAUUGUUAGAAUUAGCAAAAAAAGUUUUUGAUACGUAUCAUAAGAACCAAAUUUUCCCAAAACAUUUGAGGUGCAAAUUAUUUUAAACUCGAAGGCUUCCUGCAUUGGGUGUAUUAUGGAAGGUUAUUUUGUAGUUAACUGUCAUCUAGAAAUUGAGAUGUGAUUCCUCUGCAAUACCUGUAAAACUUUUAAAUUUUUUUCUGGGUUCUCAUUGCUUUUAUGUUUAAAGAACGUUCUUUGGCAUCACAAACAUCUUCUGCAUUGUUAGGGUUUAGGUUUGAGGUUGGAGGUUGGUUCGUGACCAAUAUUACUAACAAUUUGACAUAAUCAAGUAAUUGCUUGAUCCUUAUUGAAAUAUGUUAAUUAAUCAAUGUAAGAGUUUUAUUUGCUGUUAA